rnacentral:misc_RNA from 1 species
GAUGAAGAACGUAGUGAAAUGCGAUAACUAGUGUGAAUUGCAGAAUUCAGUGAAUCAUCGAGUCUUUGAACGCACAUUGCGCCCCCUGGUAUUCCGGGGGGCAUGCCUGUCCGAGCGUCAUUGCUGCCCUCAAGCACGGCUUGUGUGUUGGGCCUCCGUCCUCCUCCCGGGGGACGGGCCCGAAAGGCAGCGGCGGCACCGCGUCCGGUCCUCGAGCGUAUGGGGCUUCGUCACCCGCUCUUGUAGGCCCGGCCGGCGCUUGCCGACACAUCAAUCUUUUUUCCAGGUUGACCUCGGAUCAGGUAGGGAUACCCGCUGAACUUAAGCAUAUCAAUAAGCGGAGGA